AUUGAACGCUGGCGGCAUGCCUUACACAUGCAAGUCGAACGGCAGCGCGGGAGCAAUCCUGGCGGCGAGUGGCGAACGGGUGAGUAAUAUAUCGGAACGUGCCCAGUAGUGGGGGAUAGCCCGGCGAAAGCCGGAUUAAUACCGCAUACGACCUACGGGGGGAAGGGGGGGAUCGCAAGCCCACUCGCUAUUGGAGCGGCCGAUAUCAGAUUAGGUAGUUGGUGGGGUAAAGGCCCACCAUGCCUACGAUCUGUAGUUGGUCUGAGAGGACGACCAGCCACACUGGGACUGAGACACGGCCCAGACUCCUACGGGAGGCAGCAGUGGGGAAUUUUGGACAAUGGGGGCAACCCUGAUCCAGCAAUGCCGCGUGCAGGAAGAAGGCCUUCGGGUUGUAAACUGCUUUUGUCAGGGAAGAAAUCCCUUGGGUUAAUACCUCGGGGGGAUGACGGUACCUGAAGAAUAAGCACCGGCUAACUACGUGCCAGCAGCCGCGGUAA
rnacentral:rRNA from 1 species